rnacentral:rRNA from 1 species
GACGAACGCUGGCGGCGUGCUUAACACAUGCAAGUCGAACGGUGAAGCGCCUUCCUUUUUGGUGGGUGUGGAUGAGUGGCGAACGGGUGAGUAACACGUGAGUAACCUUCCCCCUUCUUCUGGAUAACCGCAUGAAAGUGUUGCUAAUACGGGAUAUUCUGGGUCUGUCGCAUCAUUGGUCUGGGACAGAUUUUCUUUCGGUUGGGGAUGGGCCCGCGCCCUAUUAGCUUGUUGGUGGGGUGAUGGCGUACCAAGGCGGCGAUGAGUAGCCGACCUGAGAGGGGGGUCGGCGAUCCUGGUGGGGAGGAGAGAUGGAGAAGACUACGAGGGGAGGCAGUAGUGGGGAAUAUUGCAUGAGGGGAGGAAGGAUGGUGCAGCGACGCGGGGUGGAGGAUGGAGGUCGGCGGGUUGUGAACCGUUUUCGCGAGAGAAGAAGGGCUGAAGUGUUUGUGGGUGGGUUGACGGUAGCUGGAGAGGAAGCGCCGGCUAACUACGUG